AUUAUCAUGGAAAAAAUUUCUUAUCUCUACCACCUUGAUCUUUCUUGAUCUUGAGGUCUUCUGUUUCAAAUUUCCUUUUAAAGGUUUUGUUUUUGUUUGGCUUGCCUUUGCUUUGGUUGGAGCUUUUCUCCUUCCAUGUACAAUGGCUCAUUCUACUUGAGGAGCUUUUGUCAUGGACACAAAAUACAGACUUGAAAUCUAACAAGAAGUUCAAGAAGAAGUGGCAAAACUAGAUUAAACAGAUGAGUACAAGAACAACACCAGAAAGGUGAGCUAGAACUCCAAGAGAUGUGUUGUCGAGACUGAAGAACUCUUCAGCCUCGAUCCCUAUAUAUACUCCUACUUAUGAAGCUUCUCGAGCUACUUCUAUUAACUAAGAAGCUUCUAGAAGGUUCCAG
rnacentral:lncRNA from 1 species